UACUUCAUACGGCUCACUGUAUUUGAGGU
rnacentral:piRNA from 1 species